rnacentral:sRNA from 1 species
UCCUAAGUCACGUAGCACUAGCUGCAUA